UUAAAGACCAAGAAAAGAGUCCACAGUGGAGAUAAUCCAUACAAAUGUGAGGAGCAUGGGAUGUACUACAACAGGCACUUGACUUGAUAUGCAUCAGAGGGUCCAUAUGGCAGAGAAACCGUGGAAGUUUGGGGAGAUUGCCAUGUGCUUCAGUUAUGCCUCAAAGUCUUCAACUUCAUUGGACUGUUCACUUUCAAGGGAAACCUUAGUAAGGUGAUAUCUGUGAUAGUCUUCUCAACUACAAGCUCAUCUGAGAGUUCACAAUGGGAGAAGCAUUAAAAAUUUGAUACAUGUGAUGGAGCUCCCAGGGGAGUGGCGACCACUGUCUCUAUGGUUCGGUUGACAAAGCUGUUCCAGCCUGCUGGCUUUGGAGAGUCUGGGCAAUCUGGGUGAGGAAGGGUCCUCCCCCACCGCAGCACACCUGCUGUACCAAAAGCAGUUGGACUGCUUCUGUAAGUAGGUCCCUGAUCCUGUUCCUCCUGACUCAGUGAGACCUCCCAACAGGAGUCUCUAGACACCUCCUACAGGAGUCUUCAGGCCAGAAACUGGUCAGUAUCCCCCUGGGACAGAGUUUCCAAAAGAAGGAGAAGGCUGCCAUCUUUGCUGUUUUGCAGCUUUCACUGGUGACACCUCCAGGUACGGGAAAAACGGAGGCAACUAGGGUCUCGAGCAGACCCCAGCAAACUGUGG
rnacentral:lncRNA from 1 species